AACGAACGCUGGCGGCAGGCUUAACACAUGCAAGUCGAGCGCCCCGCAAGGGGAGCGGCAGACGGGUGAGUAACGCGUGGGAACAUACCCUUUGGUUCGGAAUAACUCAGGGAAACUUGAGCUAAUACCGGAUACGUCCGUAAGGAGAAAGAUUUAUCGCCAAAGGGAUUGGCCCGCGUCCGAUUAGCUAGUUGGUGAGGUAACGGCUCACCAAGGCUACGAUCGGUAGCUGGUCUGAGAGGAUGAUCAGCCACAUUGGGACUGAGACACGGCCCAAACUCCUACGGAGGCAGCAGUGGGGAAUAUUGGACAAUGGGCGCAAGCCUGAUCCAGCCAUGCCGCGUGAGUGAUGAAGGCCUUAGGGUUGUAAAGCUCUUUUGUCCGGGAAGAUAAUGACUGUACCGGAAGAAUAAG
rnacentral:rRNA from 1 species